GGGGAGGGGCUCCCGCCGCAGAAAGGUGGAGAGACGGUGUCCCUGGAAACUGCCUCCAGAGCCAGAGCAAGUCAGCGAGGCCAGGGGCUGCGAGACCAGGGGGAUCAAAGGGAGCUGCUGCACGGGCUGGAGGACAGCGCUCAGCCUCUAACCUCGCUCUGCCCUAACAACUGCCAUCCUGAGGGGUCAUAAACUGUUGGGGAAAAGGCAGCCCAUUAUCGUGCUGGAGCGAUGGUGUAGCUGGGAUGGGCCAGGG